rnacentral:rRNA from 1 species
ACGGGGGGUGCAAGCGUUGUUCGGAAUUAUUGGGCGUAAAGCGCGUGUAGGCGGUUUGUUAAGUCUGAUGUGAAAGCCCCGGGCUCAACCUGGGAAGUGCAUUGGAAACUGGCAGACUUGAAUACGGGAGAGGGUAGUGGAAUUCCUGGUGUAGGGGGGAAGUGCGUAGAUAUCAGAAGGAAGAGGGGUGGCGAAGGCGGGGGCCUCAGCCAUUAUUGACGCUGAGGCGCGAACGUGUGGGGAUCAAACAG